rnacentral:rRNA from 1 species
GUAGUCAUAUGCUUGUCUCAAAGAUUAAGCCAUGCAUGUCUAAGUAUAAACAAAUUUGUACUGUGAAACUGCGAAUGGCUCAUUAAAUCAGUUAUAGUUUAUUUGAUGGUACAUUACUACAUGGAUAACUGUGGUAAUUCUAGAGCUAAUACAUGCGUUAAAAUCCCGACUUACGAAGGGAUGUAUUUAUUAGAUACAAAACCAAUUCGUGGCAACACGAUAUUGGUGAGUCAUAAUAACUUUUCGAAUCGCAUGGCCUUGAGCCGGCGAUGCAUCAUUCAAAUAUCUGCCCUAUCAACUUUGGAUGGUAGGAUAGAGGCCUACCAUGGUUUUAACGGGUAACGGGGAAUAAGGGUUCGAUUCCGGAGAGGGAGCCUGAGAAACGGCUACCACAUCCAAGGAAGGCAGCAGGCGCGCAACUUACCCAAUCCCGACACGGGGAGGUAGUGACAAUAAAUAACAAUACAGGGCUCUUUUGGGUCUUGUAAUUGGAAUGAGUACAAUUUAAAUACCUUAACGAGGAACAAUUGGAGGGCAAGUCUGGUGCCAGCAGCC